UGGCUGGAUGCUGGCUGGUUCAAGCAAGAGCACAUUGCAUGACUAGUUGGUCCUAAAUGGUCUGCUGGAUUUAGCCUGGGAUGAGUGGGAACUCACUGAAUGGUUAUUUGCUGCUCAAAGUUCUGCUGUAUGAAGGACGAGGCCAGAUGGCUGGAUGUAGGCUGGGGCGAGCACAAGCACAC
rnacentral:lncRNA from 1 species